rnacentral:rRNA from 1 species
AGUGAACGCUGGCGGUAGGCCUAACACAUGCAAGUCGAACGGCAGCACAGUAAGAGCUUGCUCUUACGGGGUGCGAGUGGCGGACGUGUGAGGAAUACAUCGGAAUCUACUUUUUCGUGGGGGAUAACGUAGGUAAACUUACGCUAAUACCGCAUACGACCUACGGGUGAAAGCAGGGGAUCUUCGGACCUUUCGCGAUUGAAUGAGCCGAUGUCGGAUUAGCUUGUUGGCGGGGUAAAGGCCCACCAAGGCGACGAUCCGUAGCUGGUCUGAGAGGAUGAUCAGCCACAUUGUAAGUGAGACACGGUCCCGACUCCUACGGGAGGCAGCAGUGGAGAAUCUUGGACAAUGGGGGAGAGCCUGAUCCAGCCAUACCGCGUGGGUGCAGAACGCCUUCGGGUUGUAAAGCCCUUUUGUUGGGAAAGAAAAGCAGCAGGUUAACACCCCGCUGUUCUGACGGUACCCAAAGAAUAAGCACCGGCUAACUUCGUG